UUUAAGCCGGAAUGAACUUGCCGUGCUAGUCGGGUUCCAAGAGAUAUGAUAUCUGUCUAUGUCCUUGUUUUAUUUUGUAGGUCUUUUAUCCCUCCAAGGCACUGAAACUUCCUUCGUCUUCUCCUUCACUGGGCCUGAGUAGCUGCAGUUUCCAAGCUCUUCUGGAAAGGGCAUCAUGGCUCUUUGAGUGAGGCACAUGGAGGGAGGGCUGAAGGUUGAAAUCGAUGGGGGAAAAGAGUGAAGAGAGUCUUCUUUGGAGUGGGCAGCAAACUCCCUAGCAGAGUGAAUGCAGGACGCAUCCAGUGUCUAAGGGCACUGUCUAAUCACUGAUAAAGAAGUGUGCUGCUGUCAUGGCUGCUGGGCUCAUCGGAUUCUUCCUAUUACAGGCAGUAUCUUGGGCAUAUGGUG